rnacentral:rRNA from 1 species
AUUGAACGCUGGCGGCAUGCUUUACACAUGCAAGUCGAACGGUAACAGGGUGCUUGCACCGCUGACGAGUGGCGAACGGGUGAGUAAUGCGUCGGAACGUGCCGAGUAGUGGGGGAUAACGCAUCGAAAGGUGUGCUAAUACCGCAUACGUACUGAGGUAGGAAGUGGGGGACCUUCGGGCCUCACGCUAUUCGAGCGGCCGACGACUGAUUAGCUAGUUGGUGAGGUAAAGGCUCACCAAGGCGACGAUCAGUAGCGGGUCUGAGAGGAUGAUCCGCCACACGUGGGAUGAGACACGGCCCAGAUGCCUACUGGAGGCAGCAGUGGGGAAUUUUGGGCAAUGGGCGCAAGCCUGAUCCAGCCAUGCCGCGUGUCUGAAGAGGGCCUUCGGGUUGUAAAGGACUUUUGUCCGGGAGCAAAUGCCUGGUGUUAAUAGCACUGGGAGCUGAGAGUACCGGAAGAAUAAGCACCGGCUAACUACGUGCCAGCCGCCGCAGUAACAC